rnacentral:tRNA from 1 species
GUGGCUAUAGUUCAACGGUAGAACACUAGAUUGUGGCUCUAGUGACCUGGGUUCAACUCCCAGUAGCCACCCCC